rnacentral:rRNA from 1 species
UACGGGGGGGGCAAGCGUUGUUCGGAAUUACUGGGCGUAAAGGGUGCGUAGGUGGCGCCGUAAGUCAGGUGUGAAAUUUCGGAGCUUAACUCCGAAACUGCAUUUGAUACUGCGGUGCUUGAGGACUGGAGAGGAGACUGGAAUUCAUGGUGUAGCAGUGAAAUGCGUAGAGAUCAUGAGGAAGACCAGUGGCGAAGGCGGGUCUCUGGACAGUUCCUGACACUGAGGCACGAAGGCCAGGGGAGCAAACGGGG